rnacentral:rRNA from 1 species
AGCGAACGCUGGCGGCAGGCCUAACACAUGCAAGUCGAACGCCCUAGCAAUAGGGAGUGGCAGACGGGUGAGUAACGCGUGGGAACCUUCCCUAUGGUGCGGAAUAACUCGCCGAAAGGCGUGCUAAUACCGCAUAAGCCCGCAAGGGGAAAGAUUUAUCGCCAUAGGAUGGGCCCGCGUAGGAUUAGCUAGUUGGUGAGGUAAUGGCUCACCAAGGCGACGAUCCUUAGCGGUUUGAGAGAAUGACCAGCCACACUGGGACUGAGACACGGCCCAGACUCCUACGGGAGGCAGCAGUGGGGAAUCUUGGACAAUGGGCGCAAGCCUGAUCCAGCCAUGCCGCGUGAGUGACG